AAUGAACGCUGGCGGCGUGCCUAACACAUGCAAGUCGAGCGAGAAAGCUCCUUCGGGAGCGAGUACAGCGGCGGACGGGUGAGAAACGCGUGAGAAUUUACCCUUUAGUGAAGAAUACCCUCGAGAAAUCGAGGUUAAUACUGCAUACGUCCCUCCGGGGAGAAAGAUGGCCUCUUUGCUGUCGCUAAAGGAUAAGCUUGCGUACUAUUAGCUAGUUGGUGAGGUAAAGGCUCACCAAGGCGAUGAUGGUUAGCCGGCCUGAGAGGGUGUACGGCCACACUGGAACUUAGACACGGUCCAGACUCCUACGGGAGGCAGCAGUGGGGAAUAUUGCGCAAUGGGCGAAAGCCUGACGCAGCGACGCCGCGUGGAGGAUGAAGGUCUUCGGAUUGUAAACUUCUGUUAAGUGGGAAGAAAUACCUGCUUCUAAUAAAAGUAGGGGAUGACGGUACCAUUAGAGAAAGCACCGGCUAACUUCGUGCCAGCCGCCGCCGUAACAC
rnacentral:rRNA from 1 species